AGAGUUGAUUAUGGCUCAGGAUGAACGCUAGCUACAGGCUUAACACAUGCAAGUCGAGGGGUAGCAGGGUCUAGCAAUAGAUCGCUGACGACCGGCGCACGGGUGAGUAACACGUAUCCAACCUUCCGUUUACUCGGGGAUAGCCUUUCGAAAGAAAGAUUAAUACCCGAUAGUAUGCUUUUCCCGCAUGGGAGAAUCGUUAAAGUUUUUCGGUAAUCGAUGGGGAUGCGUUCCAUUAGGCAGUUGGUGAGGUAACGGCUCACCAAACCUUCGAUGGAUAGGGGUUCUGAGAGGAAGGUCCCCCACAUUGGAACUGAGACACGGUCCAAACUCCUACGGGAGGCAGCAGUGAGGAAUAUUGGUCAAUGGACGAGAGUCUGAACCAGCCAAGUAGCGUGAAGGAUGACUGCCCUAGUGGGUUAGUAAACUUUCUUUUAUAGUGGGAAUAAAGGAGCCUACGUGUAGGUUUUGUAUGUACCAUACGAAUAAGGAUCGGCUAACUCCGUGCCAGCAGCCGC
rnacentral:rRNA from 1 species